GACGAACCGAGCGAACGUUGUUCGGAAUAACUGGGCUUAAAGGGCGCGUAGGCGGGCCGCCAAGUUCGAGGUGAAAUCCUCCGGCUCAACCGGAGAACUGCCUCGAAUACUGGAGGCCUCGAGGCGGGUAGGGGCAUGCGGAACUGUGGGUGGAGCGGUGAAAUGCGUUGAUAUGACAUAGAACACCAAUUGCGUAGGCAGCUCACUACGGAAAUAUUGACGCUGAGGCACGAAAGCGUGAGGAUCAAACAGG
rnacentral:rRNA from 1 species